GAGAAGCAGUCUGUUGUGCUUGCAGGAGAAUUUGAUCUACAGACGCAUCAGAAACUCAGGCAUCCAUCUGAACAUUGAUCAUCAUGUCACUCACCAACAUUCUUAAACCUGAGGACAUUAAGAAGGCAGUCGACACCUUUGAAGCUGUAGGCUCAUUCAAGCAUAAGGAGUUCUUCAAGAUAUGUGGCUUGUCCACAACGCCUCCAGAGAAGGUGCGAGAGGUGUUCAAGAUCCUUGAUGGUGACAAUAGUGGCUACCUUGAAGAAUCUGAGCUCA